rnacentral:rRNA from 1 species
UACGUAGGGUGCAAGCGUUGUCCGGAAUUAUUGGGCGUAAAGAGCUCGUAGGCGGUUUGUUGCGUCGGCUGUGAAAUCCCGAGGCUCAACCUCGGGUCUGCAGUCGAUACGAGCAAACUAGAGUGUUGCAGGGGAGAUCGGAAUUCCUGGUGUAGCGGUGAAAUGCGCAGAUAUCAGGAGGAACACCGGUGGCGAAGGCGGAUCUCUGGGCCUUACCUGACGCUGAGGCGCGAAAGCUAGGGGAGCAAACAGG